AAUGGAAAAGUCCCAUCAGGCAUGUGCCGUCAGGUAAGGUAGGCUGUGCCUACCCUGACUCAAAUUAUAAAAUGGUCCUUAUUUUAUAUAUAUAAAAUAUAUAUAAAACAAUAUAAAAUGGUCAUAAAUA